rnacentral:rRNA from 1 species
GAUGAACGCUAGCGGCAGGCUUAACACAUGCAAGUCGAGGGGUAUAGAAAGCUUGCUUUCUAGAGACCGGCAAACGGGUGCGGAACACGUACACAACCUACCUUUAUCAGGGGGAUAGCCUUCGGAAACGGAGAUUAAUACCCCAUAGUAUUAUGGAGUGGCAUCAUUUUAUAAUUAAAGAAUUUCGGAUAGAGAUGGGUGUGCGUAAGAUUAGCUAGUUGGUGAGGUAAAGGCUCACCAAGGCAACGAUCUUUAGCUGAUGUGAGAGCAUGAUCAGCCACACGGGCACUGAGACACGGGCCCGACUCCUACGGGAGGCAGCAGUGAGGAAUACUGGUCAAUGGACGGAAGUCUGAACCAGCCAUGCCGCGUGAAGGAUGAAGGCGUUCUGCGUUGUAAACUUCUUUUAUUUAGGAAGAAACCACUUUUUUUUAAGAGUGUUGACGGUAUUAAAUGAAUGAGCACCGGUUAACUCCGUGCCAGCAGCCGCAGUAACAC